UGCCCCUCACUUGCCAAUACGUCUAGAUCAGCCAGGGCGUCGGCAUGUGUAGCGUAUUAUGUUGGGCUCUCUCGAGAUAAGGAUACGAUGUCCCUUUAUCGGUUGGUUUCCUGUGUGCGCGGCCCGUUCGUUUUUUUGUUACUUCGCAUCGUUCGGUGCAUUCUGGGGGCUGUGUUGGCUUUUGGUGGCUUGCUUGGCCUUUUGGCUUUGCUUGUUGCUACUUGUCGGGCUGCUUUCGGGAAUGUCGACCGUGGAGGUGCAUGAGUGGUGUUUGGUUUGUUACGUGUGGAUGGCUGUUUGCUUGUGCAACAACGUUCACGCUGCAUACCUCUUCAGUUUUGCGGCAAGGCUUGGUUUGGCUUGUGCAAAUUGUGGGUUUCCUGUGUUGCAUACCUAGUUGAUGGAAAAGUGUGGGUUUUACAAUUUUCAUUUUCGUCUUGCGUCGUUCUUUCGGCGUGGGAUGAACAAUGAAGCGAUCUUUAUGAUCCAUCGNGCUGUUGCGUUUGCAACAAUGAUGUGGCCUAUGAAGCAUCGUUUGGUCUCUUGUAUACNGAAGCUCAUUUGGGCUUGGGUCUUUAUAAGAUCUUUGUUACGCCCUUGUUAAGCGUUCUCGCUUCUCCUAAACGAUUG
rnacentral:misc_RNA from 1 species